UACGUAGGUGGCAAGCGUUGUCCGGAAUUAUUGGGCGUAAAGCGCGCGCAGGUGGUUUCUUAAGUCUGAUGUGAAAGCCCACGGCUCAACCGUGGAGGGUCAUUGGAAACUGGGGAACUUGAGUGCAGGAGAGAAGAGUGGAAUUCCACGUGUAGCGGUGAAAUGCGUAGAGAUGUGGAGGAACACCAGUGGCGAAGGCGGCUCACUGGCCCGUAACUGACGCUGAGGUGCGAAAGCGUGGGGAGCAAACAGG
rnacentral:rRNA from 1 species